rnacentral:rRNA from 1 species
GGCAGUCUAAAUAGGCAAAUCCGUUUAGGCAAUGCUAGGAUGUGAUGGGGAAGCCCUUCGGGGCGAAGUAGCUGACUUCACACUGUCAAGAAAAGCUUCUAUCGAGUUUAAAGGCGCCCGUACCGUAAGCCGACACAGGUGGGUGAGGAGAGUAUCCUAAGGCCAGCGAGAGAACUAUUGUUAAGGAACUCGGCAAAAUGACCCCGUAACUUAGGGAGAAGGGGUGCCUGUCUAUGACAGGCCGCAGAGAAUAGGCCCAAGCGACUGUUUACCAAAAACACAGGUUUCUGCUAAGUCGCAAGACGAUGUAUAGGAGCUGACGCCUGCCCGGUGCUGGAAGGUUAAGGGGAUCUGUUAGAGCAAUCGAAGCAGUGAACUUAAGCCCCAGUAAACGGCGGCCGUAACGAUAACGGUCCUAAGGUAGCGAAAUUCCUUGUCGGGUAAGUUCCGACCCGCACGAAAGGCGUAACGAUUUGGGCACUGUCUCAACAAUAGACUCGGUGAAAUUGUAAUCCCGGUGAAGAUGCCGGGUACCUGCGACAGGACGGAAAGACCCCAUGGAGCUUUACUGUAGCUUGACGUUGGGUCUUGGUACUACAUGUACAGGAUAGGUGGGAGACUAUGAAGCAUGGACGCCAGUCUGUGUGGAGUCAUCCUUGGGAUACCACCCUUGUAGUACUGGGAUCCUAACCAUAGGCCUUGAAUCAGGUCUUGGAACACCGUCAGGUGGGCAGUUUGACUGGGGCGGUCGCCUCCUAAGAAGUAACGGAGGCGCUCAAAGGUUUCCUCAGCACGGUCGGAAAUCGUGCGAAGAGUGUAAAGGCAAAAGGAAGCUUGAUUGCAAGACAUACAGGUCGAGCAAGGACGAAAGUCGGACUUAGUGAUCCGGUGGUACCGCAUGGAAGGGCCAUCGCUCAACGGAUAAAAGCUACCCUGGGGAUAACAGGCUUAUCUCCCCCAAGAGUCCACAUCGACGGGGAGGUUUGGCACCUCGAUGUCGGCUCAUCACAUCCUGGGGCUGUAGUAGGUCCCAAGGGUUGGGCUGUUCGCCCAUUAAAGUGGUACGCGAGCUGGGUUCAGAACGUCGUGAGACAGUUCGGUCCCUAUCCGUCGCAGGCGUAGGAAAUUUGAGAAGACCUGUCCUUAGUACGAGAGGACCGGGAUGGACGUACCUCUGGUGUACCAGUUGUUCUGCCAAGGGCAUGGCUGGGUAGCUAUGUACGGAAUGGAUAAGCGCUGAAGGCAUCUAAGCGCGAAGCCAACUUCAAGAUAAGAUUUCCCACUGUAAGGGUAAGACCCCAGGAAGACUACCUGGUUGAUAGGUCGAAGGUGUAAGUGCAGUAAUGUAUUUAGCUUAUCGAUACUAAUAGGUCGAGGACUUGACCAA